AUGGGUGUAGCUCAGUGGCAGAGCAUGCAGAAAGUCCCAGUUUCAACCCCUGGCAUACCACCCAUU